AACGGCCAUACCAUACUGAAUAUACCGGUUCUCGUUAGAUCACCGGAGUCAAGCAUCAUUGGUCGGGGUCAAGCAUCAUUGGGUGGGUGACCAUCUGGGAACGC